rnacentral:rRNA from 1 species
CAGCAGCCACGGUAAUACGAAGGGUGCAAGCGUUAAUCGGAAUUACUGGGCGUAAAGCGUGCGUAGGCGGUUUGUUAAGUCUGUUGUGAAAUCCCCGGGCUCAACCUGGGAAUGGCAAUGGAUACUGGCAAGCUAGAGUGUGUCAGAGGAUGGUGAAAUUCCCGGUGUAGCGGUGAAAUGCGUAGAGAUCGGGAGGAACAUCAGUGGCGAAGGCGGCCAUCUGGGACAACACUGACGCUGAGGCACGAAAGCGUGGGGAGCAAACAGGAUUAGAUACCCCUGUAGUCCCUGUCUCUUAUAC